rnacentral:rRNA from 1 species
AGGAAGACUUGUUGCAAAAUUAGGCCGGCAUGUCUCAGUAUAAGCUUCUAUACGGCGAAACUGCGAAUGGCUCAUUAAAACAGUUAUAGUUUAUUUGGGGGUCAACAAUUACAUGGAUAACCGUGGUAAUUCUAGAGCUAAUACAUGCGCCCAAACCCAACUUUUUGGAAGGGUUGUGUUUAUUAAAUACAGAACCAACCCAGGCUCCGCCUGGCCUUGAGGUGAUUCAUAAUAACCGAACGAAUCGCAUGGCUAUGCCGGCGAUAGACCAUUCAAGUUUCUGACCUAUCAGCUAUCGUCGGUAGGGUAUUGGCCUACCGUGGCAAUGACGGGUAACGGAGAAUUAGGGUUCGAUUCCGGAGAGGGAGCCUGAGAAACGGCUACCACAUCUAAGGAAGGCAACAGGCGCGCAAAUUACCCAAUCCUGACACAGGGAGGUAGUGACAAGAAAUAACAAUACGGGGCAUACAUGUCUUGUAAUUGGAAUGAGUAAACUUUAA